rnacentral:rRNA from 1 species
UACUAUGUUACGACUUAUCUCGAAUAAAUACCGAGAGCGACGGGCGAUGUGUACACAUUCUAGAAACUAAAUCAUCAAUACAAUCUAAAAUAAUAAUUACAUUCAAAUCCAAUUUCAUAUCACAAUUACACUCAAUAAUUCAAAAAUAAAUAUAAAAGUAACCCAUUUCCACUUAAUCAUAAAUUGCACCUUGACCUGAAAUAACUUAAAGUAAAAUACAGAAAAUUAUAAACACUAUAAAGAUCCUCAAUACAACGGCGGUAUACAAAUCAAUAAAUCAAGUAAGGUCCAACGAGGAUUAUCGAUAAAAGAACAGGUUCCUCUGAACAGAAUAAAAUACUGCCAAAUUCUUUAAGUUUCAAGACCAUAUCUAUUACUACUCAGGUUAAACAAUUAACAUCAAAAAUAAUAGGGUAUCUAAUCCUAGUUU